UUCAGAACGUCGUGAGACAGUUCGGUCCCUAUCCGUCGCGGGCGUUGGAAAUUUGAGAGGAGCUGUCCUUAGUACGAGAGGACCGGGAUGGACUUACCGCUGGUGUACCAGUUGUUCUGCCAAGGGCAUUGCUGGGUAGCUAUGUAGGGAAGGGAUAAACGCUGAAAGCAUCUAAGUGUGAAGCCCACCUCAAGAUGAGAUUUCCCAUUUCUUUAAGAAAGUAAGAUCCCUGAGAGAUGAUCAGGUAGAUAGGUCAGGAGUGGAAGUACAGUGAUGUAUGGAGCGGACUGAUACUAAUCGAUCGAGGACUUAACCAAAA
rnacentral:rRNA from 1 species